rnacentral:rRNA from 1 species
AAAAUACGGGAGGCAGCAGUGGGGAAUAUUGCACAAUGGGCGAAAGCCUGAUGCAGCAACGCCGCGUGAACGAUGAAGGUCUUCGGAUCGUAAAGUUCUGUUGCAGGGGAAGAUAAUGACGGUACCCUGUGAGGAAGCCCCGGCUAACUACGUGCCAGCAGCCGCGGUAAUUUUU